rnacentral:lncRNA from 1 species
GAGGUUUUAUUUUUCUCGGUUGAUAGACGACGAGAAAUGUUAAAAUUUUGAAUGGAAAAUUGAUUCUCUUGUGUUAUGAAGUGCGUCAUUUGAAUUAUUUAUAACGUAAAGCUUGAGAGAAAAUAUCACGUCUCGUCGUCAUACGGGUUAUAUAAAGUUAGAAUUCAGUUCACUAUAUGGAAUUUGAAAUCAUUGGAAGCCAUAAUGUUUGUCAACAAAAAAAAUAAAAAAUAGAAAUAAUAAAAAUAGUUUACACCAUGCUAACGCUCGUUUAAAGAUGUUAAAUCAUAUUAUGUCCAUCUAUGUUUGAAUGACACGAAAGAAUAAUUUCGUAAAUAAUAUAUGAAACGAAGGAACAACAGUUGGUCACGAUUCUUAAAUAAUAAACGAAACAUAAGUAACAAAGAGGUCACGACCUAAUGCAAUCGAUCUGCAUCGAUGAGAAUCUGUAUUGGUCAUAUGAUAAUCAUUAUGUCCACUCAUGUCCUUGAGUAAUCAGUGUCUGUUUACAAACAUCAUUGUGUAAUCGUCCUUAUACAUAACUUGUUGUUAAUUAGACACAUCUAACAUGACUCAUAUCCAAUUACUUCAUUUAUCGAUCCGAUCAAACUGUUAUUGUCUGCUGUGAUGGAAUCUCGGUUCCUUAACCGGCUUAACGAGGUUACAAAUGUU